CCUACGGGAGGCAGCAGUGAGGAAUAUUGGUCAAUGGACGAGAGUCUGAACCAGCCAAGUAGCGUGAAGGAUGACUGCCCUAUGGGUUGUAAACUUCUUUUGUAAGGGAGUAAAACGAGGCACGUGUGCCUUUUUGCAUGUACUUUAUGAAUAAGGAUCGACUAACUCCGUGCCAGCAGCCGCGGUAAUACGGAGGAUCCGAGCGUUAUCCGGAUUUAUUGGGGUUAAAGGGAGCGUAGGGGGGUUGUUAAGUCAGUUGGUAAAGUGUGCGGCUCAACCGUAAUAUUGCAAUUGAUACUGGCAGUCUUGAGUACAGUUGAGGUAGGCGGAAUGCGUGGUGUAGCGGUGAAAUGCAUAGAUAUCACGAAGAACCCCGAUUGCGAAGGCAGCUUACUAA
rnacentral:rRNA from 1 species